AGUACACAUUGUUAGCUCUUGGAAUUGAGGCCAUUGAACUCACCAGUGUAGGGAGUGUGCUAAUAAGGAGCAAGCUUAUGCCAACCCCACAGAGGUCUUUGGCACAGUGAGUGGAGUUCGGUGGCAGUCCUUGCCACAAGC